rnacentral:rRNA from 1 species
AAAGUAGGAGGCGAGCGUUAUCCGGCUUUACUGGGUGUAAAGCGCGUGCAGGCGGUCGUGUAAGUGGUGCGUGAAAGCUCCCGGCUCAACCGGGAGAGGACGUGCCAAACUGCAGGGCUAGAGGCAGGUAGAGGCGUGUGGAAUUCCGGGUGUAGUGGUGAAAUGCGUAGAGAUCCGGAGGAACACCAGUGGCGAAGGCGACACGCUGGGCCUGGCAUGACGCGCAGACGCGAAAGCAGGGGGAGCGCACGGGAUUCGAUAACACCGUAGUCC